rnacentral:rRNA from 1 species
CCUACGGGGGGCAGCAGUGAGGAAUAUUGGUCAAUGGCCGAGAGGCUGAACCAGCCAAGUCGCGUGAGGGAAGACGGCCCUACGUGUUGUAAACCUCUUUUGUCGGGGAGCAAAGCGAACCACGUGUGGUUCAUUGAGAGUACCCGAAGAAAAAGCAUCGGCUAACUCCGUGCCAGCAGCCGCGGUAAUACGGAGGAUGCGGGGGUUAUCCGGCUUUAUUGGGGUUAAAGGGUGCGCAGGCGGAGGUGCAAGUCAGCGGUAAAAUUUCGGGGCUCAACCCCGUCGUGCGGUUGAAACUGGCGUUCUUGAGUGAGCGAGAGGUAUGCGGAAUGCGUGGUGUAGCGGUGAAAUGCAUAGAUAUCACGAAGAACUCCGAUUGCGAAGGCAGCAUACCGGCGCUCAACUGACGCUCAUGCACGAAAGCGUGGGUAGCGAACAGGAUUAGAUACCCCAGUAGUC